UACGAGGGGGGCGAGCGUUGUUCGGAAUUAUUGGGCGUAAAAGGUGCGUAGGCGGUUUGGUAAGUCUUAUGUGAAAUCUACAGGCUCAACUUGUAGUCUGCAUGAGAAACUGCCGGGCUUGAGUAUGGGAGAGGUGAGUGGAAUUCCUGGUGUAGCGGUGAAAUGCGUAGAUAUCAGGAGGAACACCUGUGGCGAAAGCGGCUCACUGGACCAUAACUGACGCUGAUGCACGAAAGCUAGGGGAGCAAACAGG
rnacentral:rRNA from 1 species